rnacentral:rRNA from 1 species
UACGAGUGCUCCAAGCGUUAUCCGGAAUCACUGGGCGUAAAGGGUCCGUAGGCGGUCUUGAUUAGUCUUUCAUUAAAGCCCGAAGCUUAACUUCGGAUCGGUGAAAGAAACGGCAAGACUAGAGAAUGUGAGAGGUUGUUGGAACUCAUAGUGUAGGGGUGAAAUCCGUUGAUAUUAUGGGGAACACCAAAUGCGAAGGCAAACAACUGGUACAUUUCUGACGCUGAGGGACGAAAGCGUGGGUAGCAAAUGGGAUUAGAUACCCG